rnacentral:rRNA from 1 species
UACGUAGGGUGCAAGCGUUGUCCGGAAUUAUUGGGCGUAAAGGGCUCGUAGGCGGUCCGUCACGUCGGGAGUGAAAACUCCAGGCUCAACUUGGAGACGCCACCCGAUACUGCUCUGACUUGAGUUCGGUAGGGGAGUGGGGAAUUCCUGGUGUAGCGGUGAAAUGCGCAGAUAUCAGGAGGAACACCGGUGGCGAAGGCGCCACUCUGGGCCGAAACUGACGCUGAGGAGCGAAAGCGUGGGUAGCAAACAGG